AACAGGAUUAGAUACCCUGGUAGUCCACGCUGUAAACGAUGUCGACUUGGAGGUUGUUCCCUUGAGGAGUGGCUUCCGGAGCUAACGCGUUAAGUCGACCGCCUGGGGAGUACGGCCGCAAGGUUAAAACUCAAAUGAAUUGACGGGGGGCCGCACAAGCGGUGGAGCAUGUGGUUUAAUUCGAUGCAACGCGAAGAACCUUACCUACUCUUGACAUCCAGAGAACUUAGCAGAGAUGCUUUGGUGCCUUCGGGAACUCUGAGACAGGUGCUGCAUGGCUGUCGUCAGCUCGUGUUGUGAAAUGUUGGGUUAAGUCCCGCAACGAGCGCAACCCUUAUCCUUUGUUGCCAGCGAUUCGGUCGGGAACUCAAAGGAGACUGCCAGUGAUAAACUGGAGGAAGGUGGGGAUGACGUCAAGUCAUCAUGGCCCUUACGAGUAGGGCUACACACGUGCUACAAUGGCAUAUACAAAGAGAAGCGACCUCGCGAGAGCGAGCGGACCUCAUAAAGUAUGUCGUAGUCCGGAUUGGAGUCUGCAACUCGACUCCAUGAAGUCGGAAUCGCUAGUAAUCGUGGAUCAGAAUGCCACGGUGAAUACGUUCCCGGGCCUUGUACACACCGCCCGUCACACCAUGGGAGUGGGUUGCAAAAGAAGUAGGUAGCUUAACCUUCGGGAGGGCGCUUACCACUUUGUGAUUCAUGACUGGGGUGAAGUCGUAACAAGGUAACC
rnacentral:rRNA from 1 species